rnacentral:lncRNA from 1 species
AAUAAACAGUUAUAGGCAAUGCCUUGUUUCUCACCACGUUCUCUAAACCUUUUCAGUUUGUCUUUUAGCACUGUUGAACUGAAAAGGUCAUUGAGACUUUACUUCAUGUCUAAAGGUUCUAAAAAUUCCCCAGGGUUCCAAGACUUGCUGUGGACUAGAACUGCAAUCAGUAGAGGUAUAGAAACUGUCAGUUGCUGGAGGAGGAUCCAUUUGGAAUAAGGCAGAUAAAUGCACUAAGAGACUGCUAAGAACUGAUUUGACAUCAAGACACUGAAUUUUAGAAAAUAAUGGAGCCUGACUGUGAGAACUGUCUGUAUUCAAACAUGUUAAGAGCUGAAUAUUUAAAAUUUGUUUGGCUCACCAAGCUUGGCUUUCUGAAGACAACAGAAGUGGGAUACAGAGAUCAAAAAGAAAAAAAAAAUGUAAAAUUAUUGUUAAACAAUCAAAUGCAAGGUAUUUUGUCUUCUUUCACUCCUUAAAAGAAAAUCAAUCAAUUAAUACACAAAGAUAAAAGUUAGAAACCUACUGUAAUCUAUUAAGGUCCAGGAAUUUAAAGAAUCAAAUGUACCUUCUGGGUUUCAGAAUCCAUCGCGGAGAAUGUAGAGGGUGAUGAGAAGACUUUGCAUUUGACCAAAAAGCACUAGUAAAUAAGGAGUUAAAAUGAAGGCAGGCUCGCUGGUUUGCUGAGAUCUGUCAGAGUCUGACUGGCUGGCUACAUAUCUGUCUCUGGAACAAUAGGUACCUGUAUUCUGCACGGACUGCUGGGCAGCACUAACACUCUGGAGAAGGUCUGCCGCUGUCUGCACUUUCCUGGUUCUAUGCAGGCAGAUGAGUGUCACAGCUGUAACUGAGGCACAGAGCAGUACACAUAGUGGAGCCGAUUUCCGCGAUGGCGAGAGGGGGCACCGGAGGUGACAACAAUAACAAGACCGUCCUUCAGACAAGUUUUAGAUUCUCAGGAUGAUGGAGUGAGUGAUGGAAUAGGUUGCCAACUGUAGUUACUCCACUCAGCACAGAAUGGCUGCGGGGAAAUAUAAUCAGACAUGCCCAAAGAAGUCUGCUUAGGGUGAAACAAAUACCUUUGAGGUUUAAAUCAGAAAGGAAGGAGAGACUGUUUCUACAGGUGUCAUACAAAAAUCAAUACUGAGCCAAGGAUUAUUGGAUCCCAUAGAAGCACGGAGACUUGGCAGUGAAAUUCUUCCAAAGCAUUCCAUCCAUGCAGGCAGAUGGUGUUCCUAGGUUUGGAAAUAUAAAUCCCAUGGGAAGUCAGGUGAAGACCAUUUUAUGCAUCACUCAUCCUAUUACGAGCCCUGUGCUGUUCUGUCUCUCUAUAAGACUGGCUGAAACCACAACGGUUGUUUACAAUUUAUGCUCUAACUUUGGAUCACCUAGUUAAUACUCUGACUCUGAUUAUUACCAAAGACAAUGUUCUAUAAAAGAUAUUCUCUAUUAGAAGGAUGCUUCUGCAUUAUUAAUAAAAUCACAGGGAAAAUGCAACAUUUUUGAUGUCACAUCUGAUAAGUGGGUGACUGAUCGUACCCGCCAGCUGGCUAAUGUCAUAAUUAACAAAGUGCUACUACAUCUGCAAAGUUUAAUCAAAAAAUUUGCCAGUGAUAUGAUGGCAAUGUCACAGAGAUCACAAGGAACACAGAGUCGACUUUUGCUCAAGGUGGAACGACAGCUGUGUAGGCAGAUGAGAAAUUGCGAACUUGUUCGGCCAAAGGAGGCUAAUAAUGAAGGGGCCGGGAAGGAGGCCAGUGCUACCAGGGUUAUCUCACAACCUCAGUUGCUGGAUAAGUCGACGGAGGCAAAAUCGCUUUGGGAUGACAUUCAGAAAGGCUGGAGUGAUUACUUGGAAGAGAAAAGCCUACCUAUUCUUUCCAAGGUGCAGGAAUAUUCCCCUGACCUGCUCAUCCAGUGGUCCAGUAAUGAAUUACUGGAGACCUGCCUUAGACAAAGAGUGCACUCGGAGCCCCAACACACCUAAAGCCACGCUUUGAAGGAUCUGCCAAGCUCACUUUUAAUCAUGAGAUAGAAAUUACCCACACGGAGUCAGCAGAAAAUGAGAAAGUAGAGCUCGUGCUGUGAAUAAUUCCAGCAAGUGCCAAGGGGCUAGUUGAGGAAUGGCUUCAUGAGAACAUGCUCUAGGGGAAGUAUUAAUAGCCCACCAGUCGGGUAGGCAGCAUUCAAUCCUUCUAUGCCUUCUUUCACCACCUGUUGAGGUCUUUCUUCUGAAACAAAGAAGAAAUAGACAAAUCAGACUUGCCCUCUUGGAAAUGUGGUCCAGAUUUCUCUACUCCCAAGCUCCAAAAAAGAUGUUAGUCUAAAACAGCACCUUGGAUCUAAGCAGCACCUUUGAGAAAGAAAAGACUGCUUCAAGAAUGUCUAGUUGCACCUCCUUUCCAUAUGUGGCCUAAAUGCCUAGGUUGGAUCAAUAGUUUAAUUAUUUUAUUGAACUGUUUAAUGUUGACUAUGGACUUACAUUCACUUUUACUGUUUUCUGUAUAUUUAUUUUUGCUUGAAGUGUUUUAAUAUUGACUAUUUACCUCUGCUCAUUUUUAUUGAUUUUCUGUAUUUUUUCAAUGAAAAUUAU